AUUGAACGCUGGCGGCAGGCCUAACACAUGCAAGUCGAGCGGUAGAGAGAAGCUUGCUUCUCUUGAGAGCGGCGGACGGGUGAGUAAUGCCUAGGAAUCUGCCUAGUGGUGGGGGAUAACGUUCGGAAACGGACGCUAAUACCGCAUACGUCCUACGGGAGAAAGCGGGGGACCUUCGGGCCUCGCGCCAUUAGAUGAGCCUAGGUCGGAUUAGCUAGUUGGUGAGGUAAAGGCUCACCAAGGCGACGAUCCGUAACUGGUCUGAGAGGAUGAUCAGUCACACUGGAACUGAGACACGGUCCAGACUCCUACGGGAGGCAGCAGUGGGGAAUAUUGGACAAUGGGCGAAAGCCUGAUCCAGCCAUGCCGCGUGUGUGAAGAAGGUCUUCGGAUUGUAAAGCACUUUAAGUUGGGAGGAAGGGUAGUAACUUAAUACGUUGCUACUUGACGUACCGACAGAAUAAGCACCC
rnacentral:rRNA from 1 species